UGGGGAAUAUUGGACAAUGGAGGCACCUCUAAUCCAGCAAUUCUGUGUGUGUGAAGAAGGUUUUAGGACUUUAAACCACUUUUAGUAGGGAAGAAAGAAAUGACGGUACCUACAGCAGAAGCGACGGCUCAAUACGUGCCAGCAGCCGCGGUCAUACGUAUGUCGCGAGCGUUAUCCGGAAUUAUUGGGCUUAAAGGGCAUCUAGGCGGUUAAACAAGUUGAAGGUGAAAACCUGUGGCUCAACCAUAGGCUUGCCUACAAAACUGUAGAAGUAGAGGAAUGGAAAGGGGGGGGGAAAUACACGAGGAGAGGUGAAAUUCGUAGAUAUGUGUAGGAAUGCCGAUGAGGAAGAGAACUCACUGGACAGCAAAGGACGCUGAAGUGAGAAAGGUAGGGGAGGAAAAAGG
rnacentral:rRNA from 1 species